rnacentral:rRNA from 1 species
GUCGAGCGCCCCGCAAGGGGAGCGGCAGACGGGAGAGUAACACGUGGGAACGUACCCUUCGGUUCGGAACAACCCAGGGAAACUUGGGCUAAUACCGGAUACGUCCGUAAGGAGAAAGAUUCAUCGCCGAAGGAUCGGCCCGCGUCUGAUUAGCUUGUUGGUGAGGUAACGGCUCACCAAGGCGACGAUCAGUAGCUGGUCUGAGAGGAUGAUCAGCCUCACUGGGACUGAGACACGGCCCAGACUCCUACGGGAGGCAGCAGUGGGGAAUAUUGGACAAUGGGCGCAAGCCUGAUCCAGCCAUGCCGCGUGGGUGAUGAAGGCCCUAGGGUUGUAAAGCCCUUUCGGCGGGGAAGAUAAUGACGGUACCCGCAGAAGAAGCCCCGGCUAACUUCGUGCCAGCAGCCGCGGUAAUACGAAGGGGGCUAGCGUUGCUCGGAAUCACUGGGCGUAAAGCGCACGUAGGCGGCUUCUUAAGUCAGGGGUGAAAUCCUGGAGCUCAACUCCAGAACUGCCUUUGAUACUGGGAAGCUUGAGUCCGGGAGAGGUGAGUGGAACUGCGAGUGUAGAGGUGAAAUUCGUAGAUAUUCGCAAGAACACCAGUGGCGAAGGCGGCUCACUGGCCCGGUACUGACGCUGAGGUGCGAAAGCGUG